CCUACGGGCGGCAGCAGUGAGGAAUAUUGGUCAAUGGACGAGAGUCUGAACCAGCCAAGUAGCGUGAAGGAUGACUGCCCUAUGGGUUGUAAACUUCUUUUAUAUGGGAAUAAAAUGUUCCACGUGUGGGAUUUUGUAUGUACCAUAUGAAUAAGGAUCGGCUAACUCCGUGCCAGCAGCCGCGGUAAUACGGAGGAUCCGAGCGUUAUCCGGAUUUAUUGGGUUUAAAGGGAGCGUAGGUGGAUUGUUAAGUCAGUUGUGAAAGUUUGCGGCUCAACCGUAAAAUUGCAGUUGAAACUGGCAGUCUUGAGGACAGUAGAGGUGGGCGGAAUUCGUGGUGUAGCGGUGAAAUGCUUAGAUAUCACGAAGAACUCCGAUUGCGAAGGCAGUUCACUGGACUGCAACUGACACUGAGGCUCGAAAGUGUGGGUAUCAAACAGGAUUAGAUACCCCAGUAGU
rnacentral:rRNA from 1 species